ensembl:lncRNA
GUUUUUUGUGACGCUCACUUCCUGCUACUUACGAUUUGCAACGUGGAAGUCACGCAUCGUCGAAGCAAGGCUCCUAAUUAUGAGGGUGUGCGGAGAUGCUAGCAGGUGGAGGAAAUUCCUUUGAUUAGCGCCCUUGGAGAGCGGAUUGAGUUUUCACGGUGUUCAAGAUGUUCACGACGUCAUGGUGCUCGUCGAGAGAAACGAAAUAAAUCAACACCCGUUUGAAACUCUCUGCGUCUUGAUCAAUCAAUCCGAGGGGCCGCUACACCAACCGCCGUCUAAAGUGCUCAGCAACCCCCCCAAGAUAUCACAGGGUCUUUUGCCCACACGUGAUAGUCUGGAACAUCUACAAAUGAAGUGGUCUCCAACAACGCACUCACACAAAAGGUAAAUUGUCUCUCUGAUCGAUGGAACCGGAGCUGAAGAAACCCAAGACGAACAGAACUUCAACUCCGAACUCUGUCGGCUGAACUGACGCACUGAGAACUUCUGAGACACCCGCUUUCCUUCUGCUUAGCCGUGUGCGAUGCGAGGACUGAGAGGAGGCGUGGGGGGGGCAGAGAAGGUUAAGCCCUCGCUCUGGUUCCUCCUCUCGUCCCGCUGGUCUCUUUAAGAAGCUCGAGGCUUGUAAAGCCACGAGCCAGAGAGGAAACACACACACACACGUGUACUCGAGGUGGUGAUAAGGAGCUACUUAAGGGCACUUGAGCUCUCCGCUUGAACACUUGUUUAGAGGCUCCGAGCCAACUUCGUCCUGCAGCUGAGCUCAGCGGAGUCUUCCUCAGAGCCAACAAAACCGACGACCCGCGCACACACACACCGUGAGAGGCAUUCCUCCGCUGGCAGCAGCUUCUCGUCUUCCUCCUCUUCCUCCUCUUCAUCCCUUAAUGAGGCGGCGAGCGGCGAUUCCGGCCGGAGCUCCUUUUGUGAGCCGGCUGGCUGGAGCUCCGCCGACAAAUUAAAACUCAAUUAUGUUUUCAUUUCACACUCUUUUAUUGGGCGUCAAUGAUUAUAUAUA